UAAUUUAGGUCUGGCCUGCCCACUGAAAUAUUUAAAUGGCCGUGGUAUUUUGACCGUGCUAAGGUAGCAUAAUCAUUAGUUUUUUAAUUGAAAGCUGGAAUGAAGGGUUAGAUAAAAAAAUAACUGUCUCUAUUUAAUUUUAUUAGAAUUUUAUUUUUAAGUUAAAAAGCUUAAGUUAAAUUAAAAGACGAGAAGACCCUAUAGAGUUUUAUUAUAGUUUAUAUUUUUUAUUUUAGAAUUUAUUUAUUAAAUUUGAUUUAUAAUUUGAUUGGGGCGAUUAAAAAAUUUAUUUAACUUUUUUUGUAAUAUAACAUUGAUUUAUGAAUUAUUGAUCCAAUUUUUUUGAUUAUAAGAUAAAAUUACCUUAGGGAUAACAGCGUAAUUUUUUUAGAAAGUUCAUAUUGAAAAAAAAGAUUGCGACCUCGAUGUUGGAUUAAAAUUAAUUUUUGGUGUAGAAGCUAAAAUAUUAGGUCU
rnacentral:rRNA from 1 species